AACCUCCGCAAUGUGAGAAAUCGCGACGGGGGGAUCCCAAGUGCCAUUCUUAACGGGAUGGCUUUUCAUUAGUGUAAAGAGCUUUUGGAAUAAGGGCUGGGCAAGACCGGUGCCAGCCGCCGCGGUAACACCGGCAGCUCUAGUGGUAGCAGUUUUUAUUGGGCCUAAAGCGUCCGUAGCCGGUUUAAUAAGUCUCUGGUGAAAUCCUGUAGCUUAACUGUGGGAAUUGCUGGAGAUACUAUUAGACUUGAGACCGGGAGAGGUUAGAGGUACUCCCAGGGUAGAGGUGAAAUUCUGUAAUCCUGGGAGGACCGCCUGUUGCGAAGGCGUCUAACUGGAACGGUUCUGACGGUGAGGGACGAAAGUUAGGGGCGCGAACCGGAUUAGAUACCCGGGUAGUCCUAACCGUAAACGAUGCGGACUUGGUGUUGGGGUGGCUUUGAGCUGCUCCAGUGCCGAAGGGAGCUGUUAAGUCCGCCGCCUGGGAAGUACGGUCGCAAGACUGAAACUUAAAGGAAUU
rnacentral:rRNA from 1 species